GCAGUUAUCUGGCUAUUUUGAUAAGAAUGAUUCUCUCAGCAGAGAGAAUGUGGCUUGACUUCAGAAGCCUUCAAGGCAGAGUAUGACAUUAUUCCGCUGACUUGGACAGUGCUCGUGGGAAGUGCACAGGCAGCCCCAAAGUCCUCCUCAGCACUUGUGUUUUCUCUCUACAAGUAAGAGGGCUCAUGGAGCCUGAGACGAACAGAAAGCACUUUCACGUUGUGUUUUCUCUGGGACAGCAUGGUCCAUAAGAGCAGAAGUUGUAGGACAGGUCAGAGAUGUUCCACGUGUAGCCACAAUAUAUUCUCAUUCUUCCUGGCUGUGAGGUAUGCAUAGAACCUUUCUUCCUUCUUUCCUCACCUCUCCCUCCUCCCUAUGUCCAGCUUUUUCUGCUUUGAAUUUUGACCAUUUUAAAUGGUAGAAAACUCUCUUUGAAGUGAAAAAGAAAAAGGCGAGUUUGCAUGCAAGCGUGCCUGGUUGUCCUGCGGUAGCCGGUAUGUGGUUCUCCCUCCCUCUGGUUGGCAGGCGCUAUGGCCCACUCCUUAGUAAGAGCGGGACAGAAAGCUUGCAGGUGUUUCCUGACUUUCUAAUCAGGUACCUGCUGAAAGUCAGCCUUUUACUCCAUUUGGGUAAUUUCAUAAGAUUACUUUUAAGUGUACCAUAUAUGAAAUAUAUCUAAUAUAAUCUACAUGAAAUCUACCUAAUAUAAUCUAAAUAGGGUAAAACAAUGAGAUGUUUCAGCUCCUUAACACUAAUUGAGGGUUUGUUUGUUUUUAAAAAAAGAACAUACAGCAUUUCCUCUAUAUACACAAAUAUUAAGCUGUUAUUUUGUAUGCACCUCUAAGUAUGAGAUUUGAGAUUCUGUAAUGAUUUGAAGCGCAUUUUGACUAAUUUGUAUUUUAUUGAGUUUGAGUCAGUAUUUUCUUUGGAUACAAUCUUGCGACUUAAUUAUGGCUGUUGCUUUACUUCUCUAAGAAUAGUGGCUGUUUGGGUUCUCUCUUUGCAAGGGUCCCAAAGGCACAGUUUGUCCAGUCCUCAAACACUGACUGCCCUGCCAUUCACCUUGGUCUGGAGGUAGAGUUACAGGGCUUGGUUGCCAUCGUGCUCCAUCACCAUGUGCUUGUUAUUCCCCUCCUGAAGAAGAUGGAAGAUACUGGUAGGUUGUAAUUGCAUUCCUCACUUCUUUUGGUUUGGAAAUAAGGGACAAGUUUUACUUUCUAAAAAAAGUUGAAAAUAUUAUUAUCAGUAAAACACUUGUCCACAAAACCUAAUGCAACUUCUGUUGAGAAAUCUAGAUCAUUUUGUAACUGCAUUAUUUUGGAAGCAUUUUAGAUUAAUAGAAGUUUUCUCAGUCAUAAACCCAAUUUUCCCUCUAGUGGGUCACUUCAGAAUGUUGAGGCCAGUAGCUGUAGUUGAAGAAAGGCACAGGAGAGCCGGGUCAGACGUUCAAAUCCAGGAACUAAGAAAGAGUGAUAUUUCAUUAUCCAAAGAGGAUUCAGCCUCAGAAAAUACCCCAUCCUCCCGUGGUAAGAAACUCUCACCCCAGCACCUCACACACACUGAAGACAGCGCUGCUCACAAGGUGUCCCUCCCUGCACACCAGCCUGAAGGCAGGAGCAGCAAGUGGCCGUCUAACCCUGGCCGUGAACAUAAACUUGAAGUGUGCAAGAUGCAGCACUUGGGGAGUAAAAUAAGCUAAAGCUGAAAUCCUGAUUCCUGCGGAAUUCGCACAAUUCAGACACUGCUCAGCUCUGGAAAUUUUAAGAAAAAUGAACCGUACACUAACAUGUUGCUGUUCUAAGCAGCAGACCUCAAGCAGCAGCCUUGGCACAGCAAACACAAGGCUUGGGGAACAGCCCCUAGCCGCUGCCUCGCAGCCAGGCCAGUGUGGGAGCCUGGUGGCCAGCAGCAAAUGGAAGCUGCUUUGGAGGGGCUCGUGGACCUGGACAGUCUCUGCAAGGACUCUCUGGACAGAAGAGCAGGUGGAGAGAUUGACUACUUGUGUGGAUGUUACUGUGUGAAAUGGAUGAAGAUUCCAGUUCUCCAAACAAAACCCAGGGACCUACCAACCAAGAGGAGCCUUGGAAAGGAGCAGCAGAAAGCAGUUUGAGAGCUUUCUGCCAGCAGCACGAGGGCACCUCACCGGGCAGCCACCUCCGAGACCACAACAGCAGACACCCGGAACUGCAGAAACUGCACUGCUGGAGGGCCAGGGCAGCACUGCGUGGUGUGUAAAUGCAGGUGUAAAACACGCAGCCUGAGGCUGGAGGGACUCAACACACCAGGGAUGCAGGAGUUUCCUCUGCUCCAUCCAGAGUCUCCAGGUGCCUCAGUGACGCAUUCACUGCUGUGUGGUGACUUUCUUGGUGAAUAUGAACACCGUUUGCGGCCAGACUGGAGGAGGUUUGUACUAUUUCAGCCUGCGUGCGGCUCCUGUGGAAGGAAUCAUUGUUUUACUGAACUUGCUGUGCUGGGGACGGAGGAGCAGUGCCACCGCCUCCCUCCUCCUUUCUUAAGUCAGAAAUUAGCAAAACUGGAAAAGUGCCUAAAAGAGAUCCACACCAAGCCUUGCACAGGUGGAAUGUUGUGGUUCUGCAGGGACCCCCUCCUCUUCAGGGGCCAUGGUCACGGGACGGGUCUGCACCACCACAGCCUCCGCAGGGCACGCACCCGCUCCUCGGCCGCCGCCCCUACUGCUCACUCAGCUGCUCGCUGGCGGCUGCCUUGAGCUCAGGCUUCGCAGGGGAGGCCAUGAGGUUGGCCUCUUCUAGCGCACCAGAAACAGCCCGGCGAGACCAGGGCCCAGCCACCCCACCACCCUUCGCAGGAAGCCGGGUCCUCUGACCACGACGGAAUAAGCUGGGAAAUAAGAUAGCAGCUCACAGAGUUUUGAGCAACAGGAACAAAAUCUUGCUAGUAUCGCUAUUGCGGGCCCAUACACACUGCGUCUUUCGUAGCUGUUUGCUUGUGAGAACUGUUCCCUCAUGCCGCAUUGCGUCCACAGAGCACCUCCGGCGCCCUUGCGUUCCUGGUGGCCCUGAAGACACCCCUGUGGGUGCCCCGGGGAGCAUGGCCACCAAGAUCCAGGCCCACGAAAGCCUUGGGCCACCCUGAGGGGCUCUAGUGAAUCUGCAUCUUCUGAAAAAGGGACACAGGACAACUCCGGAUCUCACAGGCUUGAAGAUGUGCGUUUUCAGGUUCCUUUACCCUCAAGGAAUCUGCAUUGUAUUUUCCCCCUUCUGAAUGGUAAACAGCCACGUGGCCAGAAAAUUUUCCCAUAAGUUGAAUCUGCCUGACACUAAAACGUCUGCGUUAAAGAUAAAAAAAUCAC